GAAAAUUUUAAGCGUCACCGUUUCAAUCCAUCGAUUACCUUUUUAACCUGAAGCUGCGAGGUAAGUUUAGGAAACUCGCCAUUGGCGAGCUUUUGAGUUCGUUGGCUCCAGGAAGCCGCCCUCGAAUACAUUUAUCAUCUAAACUCUCUCCGCCUGUUUCCCUACUCUUUGCGGGCUUCUUUUCAUCCUGAAGGCGGCCGUUAAUGAGGGUGCCUGCCGUUGUGAGUUUUACUGCGUAAUCGCUAUUGUUGGUGAGGCUGACGGGGUUGGAGCGCAUAAUGCCACUGGAUUUAUGUCCUAUGCGACCUUCUUCCCUCUCCGUUAGUUCGAGGCUUGGGAUAACUUUGGAGGAUGUGAAAAUAAUGGGAUGAUGUCAAGAUUAUGAUGGGACUAUACAACCGGAUAGAGUGCAAUGCAAGUGGUUUAUUGUUAUUCCCAUUAAAUAUUUCUCAAACUGUGUUUGUAGUUCUAGUGCUAAGAGCAAUAAUAGAUUGUUUGGAAAAGCCAGUACAGAGGAGGAGAUGGUUGAGCAGCACCAACAAAUAAGAAGUCUCAAAGAUAAUAUUAACAUGCCAGUGGCUUUGAUAUAAUAAGGGGAAGAAGCUGGCCAAUCUUUUCCAAGAAGUUCGAAUAUAAUAAGUAUUCUAAUUAAAUUAGUGCUUAUCAUAUUCUCAAUUCAUUUAUUUGUAGUUUUUUUUUUUUAGCAAUGUAGAAGUAAUUAAUCAAUCUCUUUGUGAUUGUGCAAGUUUUCAGAAUAUUUUAGUCUAGGAGUUGGUUUUUUAUUAUUGCUUUUCUUAUGUUAUAUUAUUCAAGAUAAAUGCAUGAUUGUUGAGUUGAUUGUGCGAUUCUCUAUUUAGUGGACGGCGUGUGGUAUAAAGCAUUGGUAUUAUUAACUUUUGGCUAUCUUUGGUUGCUAGCUAAUUCCAUAUUCUAGCUGCCUAUUUUUCAUUAUGCACAUUUUCAAUAAUUUUUACAUUUCACAAUUUUGCAAUGCUUGCUCGUUGUUCUGUUGAAUAUACAAAUGUUAGGUGAAUAUGAGCUGAUGUAGGGUAUGUUUGUUUGGGGGUGGAGUUGAUGGGGUUAUGUAUGGUGGACAUAAUUGCAUUAUUAUCUCAUCAUUAUGGUUUUUAUCAUUUAAGUUUUAUUUUGUAUUCAAGUGUAUUUUUGUUUCCGUUCAACUUAACUCAUAUACUUCGUAUGCAACGAUCACCUUUUUUUUUA